GUCGUUAUAAAAAUGGCUCUGUAAAAAUCCAUUUAUCGAGUUAUUUACGCUUUAAACAACUAUAAAAUAGCGAAAAACAAAGAAAAGAUUGAUAAAGAACGAGCAACACGCACCUUCAUUAAAUAUGAAUCGGAAUCAUCAGUGACGUCCACAAUUCGAGCCCCGCUUCCACAUCAACGAAGGCCACAUCUCUCCUUUGAUUGAUUAUUUCGAUAGGCGCGAGGGUGUGUGGGUGUGGGUGAGAGUAUCGCUUCGUUAUUACAACGGUGCAACAUUAACCCACAGAAUCGUUCUAAUUCGAUUGGAUUGCCCGAGAGAUUACUCGAUAAGAUUUCCUGCGGCGUCGGUCACUAAUAUCUAAUCAUAACUAAUUUCAAAAAUAUAUGAAUAUUAUACGGAUAAA